GUGGCUGGAUCACGCUGUGGGGAUGCUUCACUGCUGCAGGCCCUGGAAGGCUUGUGAAGGUAGAGGGUAAAAUGAAUGAAGCAAAAUACAGGGAAGUCCUGGUGGAAAACCUGAUGAAGUCUGCAAGAGAACUGUGACUUGUGAGAAAAUUUGUUUUCCAGCAAGGCAAUGACCCCAAGCAUAAAGCCAGAGUUACACAGGAAUGGCUUAAAAUAACUAAGUUAAUGACCUGGAGUAGCAAAGUCAGAGUCCAGACCUCAAUCCAAUCAAGAAUUUUUGGCUGGACUGGAAAAGAACUUUUCACUCACAACCCCCAUGCACUCUGACAGAGCUUGAACAGUUUUGUAAAGAAGAAUGGGGAAAAGUUGCAGUGUCCAGAUGUGCAAAGCUGAUAGAGACCUAUCUACACAAACUCUGGGCUGUAAUUGCUGCCAAAGGUGUGUCUACUAAAUACCGACUUGAAGGGGUAGCUUUUACAUGGAAAGUGUUAUUGACACUAGCUGGACAUCUGCCCACCACUGGGUUGGGCUCAGCAUCUAUCAUCAGCCUCAGGGAUCAAACUGACCGGCAGGUUGCACCAGCUGUGAGGAGAAGGAAGUGGCGUAAGAAGUACAAAACACAAAGGGGAUGCCAGAGCACACUUCAUCAACCACAGCAGAAAGGAAACCAUGUUUCAUGAAAGAGGACAUUUCAGAUGUUCUGAAAAAGAUGGCCUCACCUUGAGAGCAGAAAUGGUAGAAAUGAAAAGAAACUGGAAGAAAGAAAUAGCUUCCCCUAGAAAGGUGGCUUCUCUUCAAGCUCUCUAUUCCUGCUCUCACUCAUGCUGAAAACCACAUGCAACCAAAAUUCGUAAUCACCUAAUUGAUGAUAAAGGUAAUAUUCUUCCUCAACCUUUACUCAAAAAGAGAAGAACACAAGCAGAAAACUACAGGUCAGUUAGUGUUUCCGUCUGUCAACGAGAAUGUUGGACACUACCUCACUUUUUUUGAAUAUACAGUAUUUCUGUUUUUGCACAUUUUAAAUAAUCUAUUCAAUAAACAUAAUUGAUUUACUUAUUAUUGUUUUAUUUUAUUUAUUAUUACUUUUUUCUCUCUCCACUAU